CAUUACUGAAGAAAUGGUAGUUGGCUGACCGAAGCUAUAUGGGUGUAUGUGCUCGCUUCUACCGCUAAAUCCAUUCUCCACUGUGCACCUAUUGUAGGCUAUGAUAACGUUCUGAAGGCUUUAUAUAGUGAACUCUAUGUUUGCUUUUUUGCCUUUUUCGAUUUCGUAGCCUAUGUUCAUACAAACUCUUUUAUAGUCAAUGAAUGUGUAUUGUUGAUCUCUUACGAUCGAUAAACUAUGUACAACUUUCAGCAACGGAUCUCUUGGCUCUCGCAUCGAUGAAGAACGCAGCGAAAUGCGAUAAGUAAUGUGAAUUGCAGAAUUCAGUGAAUCAUCGAAUCUUUGAACGCACCUUGCACUCCUUGGUAUUCCGAGGAGUAUGCCUGUUUGAGUGUCAUUAAAUUCUCAAAAGCCUAAUCGUUUUUCAACGACUUGGGAUCUUUUGGAUGUGAGGGGUUUCUGCUGGCUUCAAAUCGAAUCCAGCUCCCUUUAAAUUCAUUAGUGGUUGCUUUUAUUUCACUAGAGUGUGAUAGUAUAUCUACGCUCGGACGGUGAUAAUAAGCUUUGUAUCCGCUUUCGAACCGUCUCUACCAUAGGGGACAGCUUUUUGACCAUUUGACCUCAAAUCAGGUAGGACU
rnacentral:rRNA from 1 species